rnacentral:lncRNA from 1 species
AGACCAGAAUUUACAAACAGCAUUUUGUUCCUUGAAUAUCUUUAAAAAGGCAUCUUCAUCAGGACAGGUAAGGA